rnacentral:rRNA from 1 species
CCUACGGGAGGCAGCAGUGAGGCAUAUUGGUCAAUGGCCGUAAGGCUGAACCAGCCAAGUCGCGUGAAGGAAGAAGGAUCCAUGGUUUGUAAACUUCUUUUAUAGGGGAAUAAAGGUAUCCACGUGUGGAUAUUUGCAUGUACCCUAUGAAUAAGCAUCGGCUAACUCCGUGCCAGCAGCCGCGGUAAUACGGAGGAUGCGAGCGUUAUCCGGAUUUAUUGGGUUUAAAGGGUGCGUAGGUUGUUUUUUAAGUCAGCGGUGAAAGUUUGUGGCUCAACCAUAAAAUUGCCGUUGAAACUGGAAGACGUGAGUGUGUUUGAGGUAGGCGGAAUGCGUGGUGUAGCGGUGAAAUGCAUAGAUAUCACGCAGAACUCCGAUUGCGAAGGCAGCUUACUAAGCCAUAACUGACACUGAAGCACGAAAGCGUGGGGAUCAAACAGGAUUAGAUACCCGUGUAGUC